rnacentral:lncRNA from 10 species
CCCAGCCCCUCACCUCACAGUUAAUCUCAACAUCAUGACACAGUCCAGUAAGACUCACCUUUCACUUUGAACAUGUCGAAAUUUAUUGAAAGUUUCUCAAGGAUGAAGAGGAGGGGCUUACACUAUGCAUCACAACAAAAACGAAAUUUUUGAGUAUUCUCUCCCCUGCCCCCGACUUCAAUGUUCCAUUACAUACAUCCAUGGCCCAAAAUGUUUUUAAAUUAAAAAAUUGGAAACCUCCACCUUGCUCCUCACCGUGCCCUUUCCUCCCCACACUUAGUCCUUGCCUCUGUGUCCCUUUAUCCCUUUAUGCAGGAAUAAUCUUAGCCUCUUGUAAUUUAAUUUUUCCUGUCAUUUUGAAUGUUCGGGUGGAGAAGGGGAGUGGAAGUUACAAGGAAGAAGGGACAAAGGUGUGUUGGGGAAGACUUAUCUGAUAAUAUAUUUAUAGUACUUUAGAAAAAAAGAAAGUGGGCUGGGCGGGCCGAGAGGGAGAAUUCUAUAGAUUGAAGUGUAUGUGGGCCAGGGUUUUUGUGCACUACUGUGUUGCCAGCACUUAGGUGAAUUAUCUUGACCCUCAACUCUCCUUCCAAACUUCACUUAUUCCCUUGGGUUCCUUUGCCACAAAACCCUGGGAGGGAUUUGUCUAUACUCACUGUCUCCAAUUCCUCUCUGCACAUUUCCUCUUUUUUUUUUUUUUUUUUUUUUGAGAUGGAGUCUCACUUUGUCCCCCAGGCUGGAGUGCAGUGGCGUAAUCUUGGUUCACUGCAACCUCCACCUCCCAGGUCCAAGUGAUUCUUCUGCCUCAGCCUCCUCAGUAGCUGGGAUUACAGGUGCCCGCCACCACACCUGGCUAAUUUUUGUAUUUUUAGUAGAGACGGGGUUUCACCAUGUUGGCCAGGCUGGUCUCGAACUCCUGACCUCAUGAUCUGCCCACCUCGGCCUCCCAAGGUGCUGGGAUUGCAGGCGUGAGCCACCGGGCUCGGCCUUCUUUUUUUUUUUUUUUUUUUUUUUAAUGAGGAGAGAAUGGCAACCAUUUACAAUGUUUAAG